CAGUAGCCGCGGGAAUACGAAGGGGGCUAGCGUUGUUCGGAAUUACUGGGCGUAAAGCGCACGUAGGCGGAUAUUUAAGUCGGUGGUGAAAUCCUGGAGCUCAACUGCAGAACUGCCUUUGAUACUGGGAAUCUUGAGUAUGGGAGAGGUUAGUGGAAUUGCGAGUGUAGAGGUGAAAUUCGUAGAUAUUCGCAGGAACACCAGUGGCGAAGGCGGCUAACUGGUCCAUAACUGACGCUGAGGUGCGAAAGCGUGGGGAGCAAACAGGAUUAGAUACCCGUGUAGUCCCUGUCUCUUAUAC
rnacentral:rRNA from 1 species